GACGAACGCUGGCGGCGUGCUUAACACAUGCCAGUCGAACGGAAAGGCCCUGCUUUUGUGGGGUGCUCGAGUGGCGAACGGGUGAGUAACACGUGAGUAACCUGCCCUUGACUUUGGGAUAACUUCAGGAAACUGGGGCUAAUACCGGAUAGGAGCUCCUGCUGCAUGGUGGGGGUUGGAAAGUUUCGGCGGUUGGGGAUGGACUCGCGGCUUAUCAGCUUGUUGGUGGGGUAGUGGCUUACCAAGGCUUUGACGGGUAGCCGGCCUGAGAGGGUGACCGGCCACAUUGGGACUGAGGUACGGCCCAGACUCCUACGGGAGGCAGCAGGGGGGAAUAUUGCACAAUGGGCGGAAGCCUGAGGCAGCAACGCCGCGUGCGGGAUGACGGCCUUCGGGGUGUAAACCGCUUUCGCCUGUGACGAAGCGUGAGUGACGGUAAUGGGUAAAGAAGCACCGGCUAACUACGUG
rnacentral:rRNA from 1 species